AUGGUGUUCGCCGACGAGUACAAGGACGUGGAGGCCGUGGAGGCACACGACAACACCAAGUUGCACGUCAUCCACACCAACGACAAGAAGCAGGUGGCGAUCACCCUGGCACAGUACGAGCGCCACCUCAGUCUCCGGCGCCACAAGAACGUCGGCAUUGAUGUCGAGUGCACCGUCUUCGACAACUUCCUCGCCGACCCUAGGUACACCUUUGUAGGCUUCUCCAUCGACAGCGACAAAAAAAGGCUGGAUUGCGUCAAUCUGGAGGUCGCCAACUUCGUCGACAUCCAGAAGGAGUGGAGGGUGCCCGAGGCAACCAAGGAGUUGGACACCCUUGGAGACGUCUCCGGCAUGCUCAUCGACGACUACUACAACAACAUGAAGAAGAAGAUCACCGACGACGAGCACAAGCGCUGGGCCACCCUGCCUCUGUCUAGGAGGCACAUCGAGUACGCUACAAAGGAUGCCUACGCAGCGUACGAGAUAUGGAACCGCAUCACCCUCACCCAGGACGGGCUUCGCCGUGCAAAGCUGGAGAAGGAGGAGCCACCCAAGAAGCGCGCCAGGACCAGCUGGGGAUGGGGAGACACUGACUGAACAAACACGAGAGAGCAGAGGAUAGUCAUGGCGGAUGCACCUCUUUACAAGCAGCGCCGCAGGUACACUAGGGAGCUCCACGACAUCGAUAUCCAUGGCAACCACAAGAUCCACGUCGUUUGCACAAGCAAGGGUGAAGACGUGGACAAGAUGCUAUCCACGCUCAGGAGGAAGCUCGGCGGAAUGUCCGUCAAACUAGUCGGUGUUGAUGUCGAGCCAAUGGAACUAGACAAAUUCCUCAUGAAUGGUGAGUACACCUUCGUCGGAUUCGCCAUUGAAAGAGACAAAGGUAAGCUAAAGCUAUCUGGUUUGGAGAUAAACUCCGACAACUACAUUGACAUUCAGGUGGAAUGGAGAGACCCAUACAAUAAAAAGAAGUUUGACUCUUUGGCUGAUGUUGCCGGCAGGAUGAUAGACAUUCACUACCAUGACAUGAAGAAAAAAAUUAACCGCAAGGAGGACCAUACUCUGUGGGGAUUCUGCCCACUACCAGAAAAGCUUAUCAAGUAUGCAGCAAUAGAUGCAUUCGCAACAGAUGAGUCAUGGAGAUUCAUCUAUGAUGUCAUCAUGGGACUGGACAGGGCAAAAAGAGACAAAGAAGAAAAGCAGAAGAAGAACAAGGCUGUAAUCCAAUGCAGCAACUAG
rnacentral:rRNA from 1 species